rnacentral:snoRNA from 1 species
AAUCCAUGUUGUAUGCAUUGGCAAAAUGAACCAUUAUAUCAUUCCCAAGCAUCAUAAUAGCAUUCUAAGUCUAGUUGUUGGAAAGUAGUAAUCUCGUCCUUAGCUU